rnacentral:rRNA from 1 species
UACGUAGGGUGCAAGCGUUGUCCGGAAUUACUGGGCGUAAAGAGCUCGUAGGUGGUUUGUCGCGUUGUUCGUGAAAACCGGGGGCUUAACCCUCGGCGUGCGGGCGAUACGGGGCAGACUUGAGUACUGCAGGGGAGACUGGAAUUCCUGGUGUAGCGGUGGAAUGCGCAGAUAUCAGGAGGAACACCGGUGGCGAAGGCGGGUCUCUGGGCAGUAACUGACGCUGAGGAGCGAAAGCGUGGGGAGCGAACAGG